rnacentral:rRNA from 1 species
UGUUUGAUGUUCUAACGUUGACCCGUAAUCCGGGUUGCGGACAGUGUCUGGUGGGUAGUUUGACUGGGGCGGUCUCCUCCUAAAGAGUAACGGAGGAGCACGAAGGUUGGCUAAUCCUGGUCGGACAUCAGGAGGUUAGUGCAAUGGCAUAAGCCAGCUUGACUGCGAGCGUGACGGCGCGAGCAGGUGCGAAAGCAGGUCAUAGUGAUCCGGUGGUUCUGAAUGGAAGGGCCAUCGCUCAACGGAUAAAAGGUACUCCGGGGAUAACAGGCUGAUACCGCCCAAGAGUUCAUAUCGACGGCGGUGUUUGGCACCUCGAUGUCGGCUCAUCACAUCCUGGGGCUGAAGUAGGUCCCAAGGGUAUGGCUGUUCGCCAUUUAAAGUGGUACGCGAGCUGGGUUUAGAACGUCGUGAGACAGUUCGGUCCCUAUCUGCCGUGGGCGCUGGAGAACUGAGGGGGGCUGCUCCUAGUACGAGAGGACCGGAGUGGACGCAUCACUGGUGUUCGGGUUGUCAUGCCAAUGGCACUGCCCGGUAGCUAAAUGCGGAAGAGAUAAGUGCUGAAAGCAUCUAAGCACGAAACUUGCCCCGAGAUGAGUUCUCCCUGACUCCUUGAGAGUCCUGAAGGAACGUUGAAGACGACGACGUUGAUAGGCCGGGUGUGUAAGCGCAGCGAUGCGUUGAGCUAACCGGUACUAAUGAACCGUGAGGCUUAACCUUACAACGCCGAAGCUGUU